CUACGGGCGGCUGCAGUGGGGAAUAUUGGACAAUGGGGGAAACCCUGAUCCAGCAAUGCCGCGUGUGUGAAGAAGGCCUGCGGGUUGUAAAGCACUUUCGGUUGGGAGGACUGCUUCUAGCACUAAUAUUGUUGGAAGUUGACGUUACCUUCAGAAGAAGCACCGGCUAACUCCGUGCCAGCAGCCGCGGUAAUACGGAGGGUGCAAGCGUUAAUCGGAAUUACUGGGCGUAAAGCGCGCGUAGGCGGCUAGAUCAGUCGGGUGUGAAAGCCCCGGGCUUAACCUGGGAACUGCAUCCGAUACUGUCUAGCUUGAGUACAGGAGAGGAGAGUGGAAUUCCACAUGUAGCGGUGAAAUGCGUAGAUAUGUGGAGGAACACCAAUGGCGAAGGCAGCUCUCUGGCCUGAUACUGACGCUGAGGUGCGAAAGCGUGGAGAGCAAACAGGAUUAGAUACCCCAGUAGUC
rnacentral:rRNA from 1 species